AACGAACGCUGGCGGCAGGCUUAACACAUGCAAGUCGAGCGCACCGCAAGGUGAGCGGCAGACGGGUGAGUAACGCGUGGGAAUCUACCCAACCCUACGGAAUAACCCAGGGAAACUUGGACUAAUACCGUAUACGCCCUUUUGGGGGAAGAUUUAUCGGGGAUGGAUGAGCCCGCGUUGGAUUAGCUAGUUGGUGGGGUAAAGGCCUACCAAGGCGACGAUCCAUAGCUGGUCUGAGAGGAUGAUCAGCCACAUUGGGACUGAGACACGGCCCAAACUCCUACGGGAGGCAGCAGUGGGGAAUAUUGGACAAUGGGCGCAAGCCUGAUCCAGCCAUGCCGCGUGAGUGAUGAAGGCCUUAGGGUUGUAAAGCUCUUUCAGUAGGGAAGAUAAUGACGGUACCUACAGAAGAAGCCCCGGCUAACUUCGUG
rnacentral:rRNA from 1 species